rnacentral:rRNA from 1 species
CUGGCGGCGUGGAUAAGACAUGCAAGUCGAACGGGAAACUACAUGAAGCUUGCUUUUGAAAAUUCCUAGUGGCGGACGAGUGAGUAACACGUGGGCAACCUGCCCGGAAGUGAGGGAUAGCCCGAGGAAACUCGGAUUAAUACCUCAUGUGGCCUAUAGGGGCAUCCCUACAAGGCUAAAGGUGGCUUCGGCUGCCGUUUCCGGAUGGGCCCGCGGCCUAUCAGCUUGUUGGUGAGGUAGUGAGGUAACUGCUCACCAAGGCAACGACGGGUAGCUGGUCUGAGAGGAUGAUCAGUCACGCUGGAACUGAGACACGGUCCAGACACCUACGGGUGGCAGCAGUCGAGAAUCAUUCGCAAUGGGCGAAAGCCUGACGGUGCGACGCCGCGUGGAGGAUGACGGCCUUCGGGUUGUAAACUCCUGUCAUCAGUGUGAGCAAACCUUUUCGGUUAACACCUGGAAAGCUGAUAGUAGCAAAAGAGGAAGGGACGGCUAACUCUGUGCCAGCAGCCGCGGUAAUACAGAGGUCCCAAGCGUUGUUCGGAUUUACUGGGCGUAAAGGGUGCGUAGGUGGCAAUGAAAGUCUGAUGUGAAAGCUCUGGGCUCAACCCCGGAACUGCAUCCGAUACUGCCACACUAGAGUAUUGGAGGGGAGUCUGGAAUUCUCGGUGUAGCAGUGAAAUGCGUAGAUAUCGAGAGGAACACUAGUGGCGAAGGCGAGACUCUGGACAAUAACUGAAGCUGAGAGACGAAGGCCAGGGGAGCGAAAAGGAUUAGAUACCCUUGUAGUCCUGGCAGUAAACGGUGGCACGCUUGGUGUGGGAAGGUUCGACCCUUUCCGUGCCGGAGCUAACGCGUUAAGCGUGCCGCCUGGGGAGUACGGUCGCAAGAUUAAAACUCAAAGAAAUUGACGGGGACCCGCACAAGCGGUGGAGCAUGUGGCUUAAUUCGAUGCAACGCGAAGAACCUUACCUAGGCUUGACAUGCUUGUCGUAGUCCCGUGAAAGCGGGAUGUCAGUUCGGCUGGACUUGCACAGGUGCUGCAUGGCUGUCGUCAGCUCGUGUCGUGAGAUGUUGGGUUAAGUCCCGCAACGAGCGCAACCCCUGUGAAUAGUUGCCAGCACGUAAUGGUGGGGACUCUAUUCAGACUGCCCAGAUCAACUGGGAGGAAGGUGGGGACGACGUCAAGUCAGUAUGGCCCUUAUACCCAGGGCUGCACACGUACUACAAUGCCCAGUACAAUGUGAACCGAUACCGCGAGGUGGAGGAAAUCCCAAAAACUGGGCUCAGUUCGGAUUGGAGGCUGCAAUUCGCCUCCAUGAAGUUGGAAUCGCUAGUAAUGGCUCAUCAGCUACGGAGCCGUGAAUACGUUCCCGGGUCUUGUACACACCGCCCGUCACAUCAUGGAAGCUGGUCGCGCCCGAAGUAUCUGUGUAUUCGGCCUAAGGCGAGGCUGGUAACUGGGAUGAAGUCGUAACAA